rnacentral:rRNA from 1 species
CACGGGUAACGGAGAAUCAGGGUUCGAUACCGGAGAGGGAGCCUGAGAGACGGCUACCUCAUCCAAGGAAGGCAGCAGGCGCGUAAAUUACCCAAUCACAAAUCGUGGAGGUAGUGACGAGAAAUAUCAAUGCGGGGCCUUUUAGGUCUUGCUUUUGAAAUGAACACAAUUUACAUCCCUUAGUGAGGAUCAAUUGGAGGGCAAGUCGUGCCAGCAGCCGCGGUAAUUCCAGCUCCAAUAGCGUAUUCUAACGUUGCUGCAGUUAAAAAGCUCGUAGUUGGAUUUCUGAUGAGAACUCUUAAUCUAUUAUUAAAGUUUUUACUUUAUUUGAUUUUGUUGUUUUUUCUCAUCAUCUGUACAGGGAAUGCUCAGGGUUCGCAAGAAUUUUGGGUUAUAUAUCUGUACCGUUUACUGUGAAUAAAUUAGAGUGUUUAAGGCAGGCGAUGCGCUUGAAUAUUUCCGCACGGGAUAAUAAGAUAAGACUUUUGUGUUAUUUUGUUGGUUGUACAUAAUUGUAAUGAUUAAUAGGAACAGUUGGGGGGACUCGUAUUCGAUUGUCAGAGGUGAAAUUCAUAGAUUUAUCGAAGACGAACUACUGCGAAAGCAUUUUCCCAGGAUGUUUUCAUUGAUCAAGAACGAAAGUUAGGGGAUCGAAGAUGAUUAGAUACCAUUGUAGUCCUAGCCAUAAACGAUGCCGACUUGGGAUUCGAGGAGUACUUUUUUUAUGUCUUCUCGAGCACCAAAUGAGAAAUCAAAGUCUUUGGGUUCCGGGGGGAGUAUGGUCGCAAGGCUGAAACUUAAAGGAAUUGACGGAAGGGCACACCAGAAGUGGAGCCUGCGGCUCAAUUCGACCCAACACGGGAAAACUUACCAGGUCCAGACUUCGUAAGGAUUGACAGAUUGAGAGCUCUUUCUUGAUUCGAAGGGUGGUGGUGCAUGGCCGUUCUUAGUUGGUGGAGUGAUUUGUCUGGUUGAUUCCGUUAACGAACGAGACCUCGGCCUACUAACUAGUGCCGCGAAUCUUGCGAUUCGUUAUUAUUUGGCGCUUCUUAGAGGGACAAUUCGGUUUUACCGGAUGGAAGUUCGAGGCAAUAACAGGUCUGUGAUGCCCUUAGAUGUUCUGGGCCGCACGCGCGCUACACUGACGAGUUCAACAGGUUAUGUCCUUGGUCGAGAGGCCUGGGUAAUCCUUUAAAUGCUUGUCGUGAUGGGGAUUGAUUAUUGCAAUUAUUAAUCAUCAACGAGGAAUUUCUAGUAAACGUGAGUCAUCAACUCACAUUGACUACGUCCCUGCCCUUUGUACACACCGCCCGUCGCACCUACCGAUCGAGAGCGCCGAUGAGGUCUUAGGAGCU